rnacentral:tRNA from 1 species
UGGACCGGUGGCCCAGUCUGGAUAAGGCGACGGACUUCUAAUCCGUAGAUCGAGGGUUCAAAUCCCUCCCGGCCCGU